UCAACCUUGAGAAGCCUAGGAGGAGAGGUCUGGCCAAGCCUUUCUCCUGGGAUAUACCCAUCUCUUUCCUUUUCUGGCAACUGGACAUUCUCCCCACCCCCCCUCCAAUUCCCAAAUGAAGGAACAUCUGAAGAAGACAUUUAAGCAUCUGUAAAAACUUUACCUCACAGCUCCUGGUGCCCUGGUGGCCAGGGGCCAAAGACCAGGAAAUUGAACAACAGUGGACACAGUUGUUUUCCUUGGAUCUUUCAAUGAGGGGCAGGUUUCUCCAAUCCGAGUCUAUCUUCAUGGAUGUCAGUGAACCAUGAAUCACAAGAUAAUAUGCUAGUUGAUUUUGCUGAACCAUCGUUUGCUUGUUUGUGAGACAUCAGGAGACAGUUCUAGUCACUGGGGAGAGUCCAUACUCAAGCUUACCCCUACAGUUCGUUCAUCUCCAUUAAGCACAAGUGACUUCAGAGCAUCCACUAAUGAGUAGCCUGGAAGAAAUUAUUUGAAGCACAAAAUGAAAUCUUCAGUUUAAUGUAAGAAGGAUCUUUACUUUUCUUCUCAUAAAUAUUUAGCCUUUACAUAUACAUUAUAGUUUACAGAAUGCUCUUAUUACAGGAACCUUGUGAGGUAGAAAGUAAGGGCAUUAUUCCCAUCUACGAAAUAUGAAAACUGAGAUUCCAAGAGACUGUGCCUUUCUAUGAGUCACAUAGCCAGUAAGGGUCAGAGUCAAGAUUCCAACACAUCUCUUUGAACUCUAGAUUCUGUCAAUGAACAUUCUA